rnacentral:rRNA from 6 species
UGGGAAGGCCCAGACAGCCAGGAUGUUGGCUUAGAAGCAGCCAUCAUUUAAAGAAAGCGUAAUAGCUCACUGGUCGAGUCGGCCUGCGCGGAAGAUGUAACGGGGCUAAACCAUGCACCGAAGCUGCGGCAGCGACACCGUGUGUUGUUGGGUAGGGGAGCGUUCUGUAAGCCUGUGAAGGUGUGCUGUGAGGCAUGCUGGAGGUAUCAGAAGUGCGAAUGCUGACAUAAGUAACGAUAAAGCGGGUGAAAAGCCCGCUCGCCGGAAGACCAAGGGUUCCUGUCCAACGUUAAUCGGGGCAGGGUGAGUCGACCCCUAAGGCGAGGCCGAAAGGCGUAGUCGAUGGGAAACGGGUUAAUAUUCCCGUACUUGGUGUUACUGCGAAGGGGGGACGGAGAAGGCUAUGUUGGCCGGGCGACGGUUGUCCCGGUUUAAGCGUGUAGGUAUGUGUUCCAGGUAAAUCCGGUUCACUUUAACACUGAGGCGUGACGACGAGGCACUACGGUGCUGAAGCAACAAAUGCCCUGCUUCCAGGAAAAGCCUCUAAGCAUCAGGUAACAUCAAAUCGUACCCCAAACCGACACAGGUGGUCAGGUAGAGAAUACCAAGGCGCUUGAGAGAACUCGGGUGAAGGAACUAGGCAAAAUGGUGCCGUAACUUCGGGAGAAGGCACGCUGACACGUAGGUGAAGUGAUUUACUCACGGAGCUGAAGUCAGCCGAAGAUACCAGCUGGCUGCAACUGUUUAUUAAAAACACAGCACUGUGCAAACACGAAAGUGGACGUAUACGGUGUGACGCCUGCCCGGUGCCGGAAGGUUAAUUGAUGGGGUCAGCGCAAGCGAAGCUCCUGAUCGAAGCCCCGGUAAACGGCGGCCGUAACUAUAACGGUCCUAAGGUAGCGAAAUUCCUUGUCGGGUAAGUUCCGACCUGCACGAAUGGCGUAAUGAUGGCCAGGCUGUCUCCACCCGAGACUCAGUGAAAUUGAACUCGCUGUGAAGAUGCAGUGUACCCGCGGCAAGACGGAAAGACCCCGUGAACCUUUACUAUAGCUUGACACUGAACAUUGAGCCUUGAUGUGUAGGAUAGGUGGGAGGCUUUGAAGUGUGGACGCCAGUCUGCAUGGAGCCGACCUUGAAAUACCACCCUUUAAUGUUUGAUGUUCUAACGUGGACCCGUGAUCCGGGUUGCGGACAGUGUCUGGUGGGUAGUUUGACUGGGGCGGUCUCCUCCUAAAGAGUAACGGAGGAGCACGAAGGUUGGCUAAUCCUGGUCGGACAUCAGGAGGUUAGUGCAAUGGCAUAAGCCAGCUUGACUGCGAGCGUGACGGCGCGAGCAGGUGCGAAAGCAGGUCAUAGUGAUCCGGUGGUUCUGAAUGGAAGGGCCAUCGCUCAACGGAUAAAAGGUACUCCGGGGAUAACAGGCUGAUACCGCCCAAGAGUUCAUAUCGACGGCGGUGUUUGGCACCUCGAUGUCGGCUCAUCACAUCCUGGGGCUGAAGUAGGUCCCAAGGGUAUGGCUGUUCGCCAUUUAAAGUGGUACGCGAGCUGGGUUUAGAACGUCGUGAGACAGUUCGGUCCCUAUCUGCCGUGGGCGCUGGAGAACUGAGGGGGGCUGCUCCUAGUACGAGAGGACCGGAGUGGACGCAUCACUGGUGUUCGGGUUGUCAUGCCAAUGGCACUGCCCGGUAGCUAAAUGCGGAAGAGAUAAGUGCUGAAAGCAUCUAAGCACGAAACUUGCCCCGAGAUGAGUUCUCCCUGAGACUUUAGGUCUCCUGAAGGAACGUUGAAGACGACGACGUUGAUAGGCCGGGUGUGUAAGCGCAGCGAUGCGUUGAGCUAACCGGUACUAAUGAACCGUGAGGCUUAACCUUACAACGCCGAAG